GAUGAACGCUAGCGGCAGGCUUAAUACAUGCAAGUCGAACGGGAUUCGAGGUAGCAAUACUUUGAUGAGAGUGGCGCACGGGUGCGUAACGCGUAUGCAACCUACCUUUAACAGGUGAAUAGCCCCGAGAAAUCGGGAUUAAUACACCGUAACAUUGCGAGAUGGCAUCAUAUUGCAAUUAAAGAUUUAUCGGUUAAAGAUGGGCAUGCGUGACAUUAGCUAGUUGGUGAGGUAACGGCUCACCAAGGCAACGAUGUCUAGGGGUCCUGAGAGGGUUAUCCCCCACACUGGUACUGAGACACGGACCAGACUCCUACGGGAGGCAGCAGUAAGGAAUAUUGGUCAAUGGGCGCAAGCCUGAACCAGCCAUGCCGCGUGCAGGAAGACGGCCCUAUGGGUUGUAAACUGCUUUUGCAGGGAAUAAACCUUUGUACGUGUACAGAGCUGAAGGUACCUGAAGAAUAAGCAUCGGCUAAACUCCGUGCCAGCAGCCGCGGUAA
rnacentral:rRNA from 1 species